CCUCUCUCAGGGCCGCACCUGGAGAGUUUCCAGUACUCUACCAGUCUCGGGUAUGGGAGGAAGAGUCAAGCAGAAGCACAUCCAUUCCAUUCCUAGCUUGGGCAGUGGCUAGCAAGUGGAAGGCAAUCUGCUACAAGG